UCUUCCUCUUCCUCUUCCUCCUCCUCCUACUCUUUCUCCUCAUCCUCCUCUCAGAUAAAGGUAGUCUAGUUUCAUCUUUUUGCAUGUGUCUGUCCAGUUUUCCCAACACCAUUUGGUGAAGAGACUGUCUUUAGUCCAUUGUAUGUCCAAUAUCAUCAGGGAUAUUGGCCUGUAAUUUUCUUUCUUUGUAGUGUCUUUAUCUGGUUUUAGAAUUAGGAUAAUGCUGGA
rnacentral:miRNA from 1 species